GGUUUUGAUGUCUAUAAGUAACAUACAUACACCUCACAUUCUACUUUAUAGUAUAGAUUACAUUAUUGGGAGGGGGUAAUUAAUUUGAAGGCGAAUUUUCAUGUUACUUUAUAACUUCAAUCAGGAAAAUUGGGCCACUUAUUUAUAAGCGGGCAAUAACAGUUUUCUGUUCAAAUAAAGGUAAAAUAUUGACUAAGAAUAUGAUGGAGAAAGAUUGGGUUAAAGUUACACUGAAAACUGUUGCUUGGUGUUCUUAUGUAUAUUUGCUUGUAUGUUAGUUUAGAUGUCACAUUGCUCCACACGAGUGUGUGAUUGACAUUGACUGUGGGUGUAUGUAUGAAAAACCUAACAUGGGAGAUGGGUUCAUGGUUUAGAUAGGCAUUAGUUCAGUUUUCAGUCAUUGAUCCAGACCUAGAACUUUUUUUAAAGUAAAUCAUCCCAAAUGUAUGCUUAACAUGGUUGGCCACACUUAUAUUAAUGUUUCAUUUACUGGUGCCUUCACUAAUUCUGUCAAGUUUUUUUUUUAAUACACAUGAUGAUCCAAUGGAAAUGGUUGAGGUUAUACCAAAGGUUUUUAAAAUAAAAUAGUCAUUCAGUUGAAAUGCUUCUAAUAUUUACUUUCACUUUGAAAGGAGUUACUGAUAUUUAAAAAAAAAACUAAUUUUCAUUUUUGUUGUUGUUUAUUUUGUUUUGUACUGCUGCUUAUCAAGUGUUUUAUACUCAUCUAAACUGGAAGCUUAUGACAUUUCAGAUGCACAUUUUGGAUUAUAUCAUUUUUUUUUUCGUCACUACAGGCACAAAUUCUGUUUGUUCAAAAUGAAGAUAGAAUGAUGAUUUAUUUUUUGGUAUGUGUAAAUAUGUAUUUGUAGUUAAUAUCUGAUGAAAAACUUUAAAUUCUUACAUGUUGUCAACUUGCAAUCCUAGAUAUUUUGUACAAGCCAGCAGUAAAGUAUAUUAUUUGACAUUAAAAACUAAUUUUUUUCCAAGCUGUUGCUAUGACAUUUAAUUGUGCUUACACUUUCAAUGAAAAAACAAACAAACUACAACUUGUGUUAGUCAUCUGAUCAAGUAAUUAAAUGAGAACAAAUUCACUUUGAAAUGGAAAUACAAUUUGUUUCAAUGAUU
rnacentral:sRNA from 1 species